rnacentral:tRNA from 1 species
CCUGAUAGCUUAGUUGGUAAAGAGUCUGCCUGCAAUGCAGGAGACCCUGGUUCAAUCCCUGGGUCAGGA